GCUGCCGCGGUAAUUCCGGCUCCAAUAGCGUAUAUUAAAGUUGUUGCAGUUAGUUGAAUUUCGGGAUCCAUCCGUCGGUCGGGCCUCACGGUCCGCACUGGUGUGAUGGAUUCCUACCUUCCGAAUAACCGGUAUGCCAUUAAUUUGAUGUGCCGGGGAAGCAGAACCAUUACCUUGAAAAAAUUAGAGUGCUCAAAGCAGGCUUGUGCCUGAAUACAUUAGCAUGGAAUAAUAAAAUAGGACGGCAUGGUUUCUAGGAUCACCGUAAUGAUUAAUAGGGAUAGUUGGG
rnacentral:rRNA from 1 species